GCAUAUCAGUCAGCGGAGGAAAAGAAAGCAACUGCGAUUGCCCUAGUAACGGCGAGUGAAGCGGCAGCAGCCCAGAUUUGGAAUCUGGCCCCCUUGCGGGGCCCGAGUUGUAAUCUGCAGAGGAAGCGUCUGGCGCGGCGCCGGCCUAGUUCCCUGGAACGGGACGCCGUAGAGGGUGACAGCCCCGUACGGUCGGCCGCCAAGCCUGUGUGUCGCUCCUUCGAAGAGUCGCGUAGUUUGGGAAUGCUGCGCAAAGUGGGAGGUAUGCUCCUCCUAAGGCUAAAUACCGGCCAGAGACCGAUAGCGCACAAGUAGAGUGAUCGAAAGAUGAAAAGUACCUUGAAAAUGGGGUUAAACAGUACGUGAAAUUGCCAAAGGGGAAGCGCUCGUGGCCAGACUCGCGCCCGGCGGAUCAUCCGGCUCUCCCGCCGGUGCACUCUGCCGGGCUCGGGCCAGCGUCGGUCGGCGCCGGUACUGAAAGGCGGUGCGAACGUGGCUCCCUUCGGGGAGUGUUAUAGCGCGCCGCGUAAUGUGCUGGUGCCGUCCGAGGACCGCGCUUUAUGCAAGGACGCUGGCGUAAUGGCCACUAGCGGCCCGUCUUGAAACACGGACCAAGGAGUCGCCCAGAGGCGCGAGUGUGCGGGUGACAAACCCCUGCGCGUAGUGAAAGCGAACGCUGGUGGGAGCCCUCACGGGUGCACCACCGACCGAUCCUGAUGUCUUCGGAUGGAUUUGAGUAUGAGCGUCUCUGGUCGGACCCGAAAGAGGGUGAACUAUGCUUGGGUAGGGUGAAGCCAGAGGAAACUCUGGUGGAGGCCCCGUUUGGGUUCUGACGUGCAAAUCGAUCCAUAAACCUGGGCAUAGCGGCGAAAGACUAAUCGAACCUUCUAGUAGCUGGUUUCCGUCGAAGUUUCCCUCAGGAUAGCUGCUCCGCAACACUCAGUUUUAUGAGGUAAAGCGAAUGAUUAGGGACUCGGGGGCGCUAUUAUGCCUUCAUCCAUUCUCAAACUUUAAAUAUGUAAGAAGCCCUUGUUACUUUGUUGAACGUGGGCCUUCGAAUGUGCGG
rnacentral:rRNA from 1 species